rnacentral:rRNA from 1 species
AUUGAACGCUGGCGGCAUGCUUUACACAUGCAAGUCGAACGGCAGCACGGGCUUCGGCCUGGUGGCGAGUGGCGAACGGGUGAGUAAUAUAUCGGAACGUACCCAGAAGUGGGGGAUAACGUAGCGAAAGUUACGCUAAUACCGCAUACGAUCUAUGGAUGAAGGCAGGGGACCGCAAGGCCUUGUGCUCCUGGAGCGGCCGAUAUCUGAUUAGCUAGUUGGUGAGGUAAAGGCUCACCAAGGCGACGAUCAGUAGCUGGUCUGAGAGGACGACCAGCCACACUGGAACUGAGACACGGUCCAGACUCCUACGGGAGGCAGCAGUGGGGAAUUUUGGACAAAGGGCGCAAGCCUGAUCCAGCAAUGCCGCGUGAGUGAAGAAGGCCUUCGGGUUGUAAAGCUCUUUUGUCAGGGAAGAAACGGUAGAGGCUAAUAUCCUUUGCUAAUGACGGUACCUGAAGAAUAAGCACCGGCUAACUACGUG